AGCUCCAAUAGCGUAUAUUAAAGUUGUUGCAGUUAAAAAGCUCGUAGUUGGAUCUCAGGUCCGGACUGGCGGUCCUGUUCGCGCAGGUACUGCUUGUUCCGACCCCCCUGCUGGUGUUCGCUUGGUGCUCUUCACUGAGUGCCUUGUGUUGCCGGCACGUUUACUUUGAAAAAAUUAGAGUGUUCAAAGCAGGCAUCUCGCCUGGAUACUGUUGCAUGGAAUAAUAGAAUAGGAUCCCGGUUCUAUUUUGUUGGUUUUCGGAACUAGGGGUAAUGAUUAAGAGGGACGGCCGGGGGCAUUAGUAUUACGGUGUUAGAGGUGAAAUUCUUGGAUCGCCGUAAGACUAACUACAGCGAAAGCAUUUGCCAAGAAUGUUUUCA
rnacentral:rRNA from 1 species